rnacentral:rRNA from 1 species
GACGAACGCUGGCGGCGUGCCUAAUACAUGCAAGUAGAACGCAGUUGCGAACGGGUGAGUAACGCGUAGGUAACUGCCUGGUAGCGGGGGAUAACUAUUGGAAACGAUAGCUAAUACCGCAUACUACCAGAUGGACCUGCGUUGUAUUAGCUAGUUGGUGAGGUAACGGCUCACCAAGGCAAAGAUUCAUAGCCGACCCGGGAGGGUGGACGACCACACUGGGAACGGGACACGGCCCAGAAUCCUACGGGAGGGAGCAGUAGGGAAUCUUCGGCAAUGGGGGGAACCCUGACCGCGCAACGCCGCGGGAGUGAAGAAGGUUUUCGGAUCGUAAAGCUCUGUUGUUAAGGAAGCGGUACUUAACCAGAAAGGGACGGCUAACUACGUGCCAGCAGCCGCGGUCAUUC